CCUACGGGGGGCUGCAGUGAGGAAUAUUGGUCAAUGGGCUUACGCCUGAACCAGCCAAGUCGCGUGAGGGAAGACUGCCCUAUGGGUUGUAAACCUCUUUUGUCAGGGAGCAAUUGGCGCUACGUGUAGCGUUAUCGAGAGUACCUGAAGAAAAAGCAUCGGCUAACUCCGUGCCAGCAGCCGCGGUAAUACGGAGGAUGCGAGCGUUAUCCGGAUUUAUUGGGUUUAAAGGGUGCGUAGGCGGAAUGCCAAGUCAGCGGUAAAAUCGCGGGGCUCAACCUCGCUCCGCCGUUGAAACUGGUGUUCUUGAGUGGGCGAGAAGUAUGCGGAAUGCGUGGUGUAGCGGUGAAAUGCAUAGAUAUCACGCAGAACUCCGAUUGCGAAGGCAGCAUACCGGCGCCCAACUGACGCUGAAGCACGAAAGCGUGGGGAGCAAACAGGAUUAGAUACCCGUGUAGUC
rnacentral:rRNA from 1 species